rnacentral:rRNA from 1 species
AACGAACGCUGGCGGCAUGCCUAACACAUGCAAGUCGAACGAGACCUUCGGUCUAGUGGCGCACGGGUGCGUAACGCGUGGGAAUCUACCCUUGGUUCGGAUAACAGUGAGAAAUCGCUGCUAAAUACCGGAUGAUGACGUAAGUCCAAAGAUUUAUCGCCCAGGGAUGAGCCCACGUAGGAAUUAGCUAGUUGGUGAGGUAAAGGCUCA